rnacentral:rRNA from 1 species
AAAGGACUUUUGUCAGGGAGCAAAACUUACUGGUUAAUACCCGGUGAGGCUGAGAGUACCUGAAGAAUAAGCACCGGCUAACUACGUGCCAGCAGCCGCGGUAAUACGUAGGGUGCAAGCGUUAAUCGGAAUUACUGGGCGUAAAGCGUGCGCAGGCGGACUUAAGCCAGAUGUGAAAGCCCCGAGCUUAACUUGGGAAUUGCGUUUGGAACUGGGAGUCUAGAGUCUGUCAGAGGGGGAUGGAAUUCCACGUGUAGCAGUGAAAUGCGUAGAGAUGUGGAGGAACACCGAUGGCGAAGGCAGUCCCCUGGGAUAAGACUGACGCUCAUGCACGAAAGCGUGGGGAGCAAACAGGAUUAGAUACCCUGGUAGUCCACGCCCUAAACGAUGUCUACUAGUUGUUGGGGUAGCAAUACCUCAGUGACGCAGCUAACGCGUGAAGUAGACCGCCUGGGGAGUACGGUCGCAAGAUUAAAACUCAAAGGAAUUGACGGGGGC